UACGGGGGGAGCAAGCGUUGUUCGGAUUUACUGGGCGUAAAGAGCGCGCAGGCGGUCGAUCAAGUCGAGUGUGAAAGCCCCCGGCUCAACUGGGGAGGGUCAUUCGAUACUGAUCGACUCGAAGGCAGGAGAGGGUAGUGGAAUUCCUGGUGUAGCGGUGGAAUGCGCAGAUAUCAGGAGGAACACCAAUAGCGAAGGCAGCUCGCUGGGACGUUACUGACACUGAGGCGCGAAAGCGUGGGGAGCGAACAGG
rnacentral:rRNA from 1 species